rnacentral:rRNA from 1 species
UUGGAGGGCAAGUCUGGUGCCAGCAGCCGCGGUAAUUCCAGCUCCAAUAGCGUAUAUUAAAGUUGUUGCAGUUAAAAAGCCCGUAGUUGAAUUUCAGGCCUGGCUGGACGGUCCGCCCUUCGGGUGAGUACUGUCUGUGGUCGGGUCCUACCUUCUGGCGAAGCGUCAUGGCCUUAACCGGCCGUGGCGGGGAACCAGGACCUCUACUGUGAAAAAAUUAGAGUGUUCAAAGCAGGCAAUCGCUUGGAUACAUUAGCAUGGAAUAAUGGAAUAGGACAAUGGUUCUAUUUGUUGGUUUCUAGGACCGUUGUAAUGAUUAAUAGGGAUAGUUGGGGGCAUUAGUAUUCAAUUGUCAGAGGUGAAAUUCUUGGAUUUAUUGAAGACUAACUACUGCGAAAGCAUUUGCCAAGGAUGUUUUCAUUAAUCAAGAACGAAAGUUAGGGGAUCGAAGACGAUCAGAUACCGUCGUAGUCUUAACCAUAAACUAUGCCGACUAGGAAUCGGGCGAUGUUGAAAAAAUGACGCGCUCGGCACCCUAUGGGAAACCAAAG